GCUAAUGUGGCCCAGUGGUUAGAGCAUCCGCCUCGGACGCGGAAAGUCGUGGAUUUGUUCACCGGUCCAUUCAUACCAUAGGCA